rnacentral:rRNA from 1 species
AUGGCUGCCGUCGUUCUCUACGUACCCUGGCAGGCCCGCGUCGUCUUCCUUCCUGGCGUCCGGUUCUCGCAGCGACGUGUGGCGCCGGCCGGCCUCCACCGGUCGCGCGUUAUCGCGUCGCUGCAUGCGGACGAUUCAGUCGAUGCCAUGCAAAUAACCCAUGUGAAUUUGCAUGACCGGACGUACAAAGGCUCGGGAACGAUGGGAGGAGGAGGGAGAGCAGGAGAACCAUACAUUGAUACAUGUUAUAAAAAGUAUUUUGACCAGAGACAAUCUUUUAAAAAGGGGUGGAAAGAUAAAGGACCCAGGGGAAAAACUGUUGAUGCUGGGGGCAAGGCUAAUAGAGCAGGUAGCAAGUGCUACACUCCCACUCUCGUCUCGCACCGCGCCGCCGGCGGAAGCGAUGGCGGAGCUUCGGCAAUCGACGGCGCAUCCAACUCCCCAGCAAAGCGCGACUCCGACGCGUCCGCCGCAUCCUCCCCAUUCGCUUCCACCUCCGCCGCCCGCGGCCGCGACGACAACGACGACGGCAAGGGCGCCCACCGCUCCUCACCUCUCCUCCCGCACCACCAUCACCACAAGCAGCUCCUUCCGUCUCCCCUCCGCUCCCUCCUCGCCCUCGAGGACCCCAGGCCCCCCACCGCCUCCCUCUCCUACCGGAUCUUGCUCGCCGUCCUCGCGCUCCUCCUGCUCGCGGCCCUCUUCUCCGCGCCCUCCCUCUGGUCCCGCUUCAACGUGCCCUUCUUGUGCCAGAAGGAGGGGAUCACGCUGCAUUGCCCUCAGAUGAAGGAGCCUCUCUCACUGUGGGAGAACCCACGUGUUGUCACCGCGUCCUGGAAGCCCUGCGCUGAGCGUCCAAGCGAUGAGCCCUCUGGCAAGUCCAGCAUUGACAUUACUUGA